AUGCUUNACACAUGCAAGUCGAACGGGAAGUGGUGUUUCCAGUGGCGGACGGGNGAGUAACGCGUAAGAACCUGCCCUUGGGAGGGGAACAACAGCUGGAAACGGCUGCUAAUACCCCGUAAGCUGAGGAGCGAAAGGAGGAAUCCGCCCAAGGAGGGGCUCGCGUCUGAUNAGCUAGUUGGUGAGGUAAUAGCUUACCAAGGCGGUGAUCAGUAGNUGGNUCCGAGAGGAUGAUCAGCCACACUGGGACUGAGACAAGGCCCAGACUCCUACGGGAGGCAGCAGUGGGGAAUUUUCCGCAAUGGGCGAAAGCCUGACGGAGCAAUGCCGCGUGGAGGUAAAAGGCCUACGGGUCAUGAACUUCUUUUCCUGGAGAAGAAACAAUGACGGUAUCUGGGGAAUAAGCAUCGGCUAACUCUGUGCCAGCAGCCGCGGUAAGACAGAGGAUGCAAGCGUUAUCCGGAAUGAUUGGGCGUAAAGCGUCUGUAGGUGGCUUUUUAAGUUCGCCGUCAAAUCCCAGGGCUCAACCCUGGACAGGUGGUGAAAACUACUAAGCUAGAGUACGGUANGGGCAGAGGGAAUUUCCGGUGGANCGAUGAAAUGCGUAGAG
rnacentral:rRNA from 1 species